GAUGUAAUGCGGGACUGGAGAACAUCAGUUGGAGAUGAAGUAAACCCAAGGGAGACUCUACAAGAAGAAUCCAUGGUACAACAUUUCAAUGAAUUGCCAAGCAAUGACUUCAAGAUUAAGCGUAUUGAGGAGUGGGUCAGUGAUCUUCAACUUUGUAGUCCGUUAGAUGAAACAACUGAAGUAUACGAAUCUGCUGCUAAUGAAGUGAAAAGAGG
rnacentral:misc_RNA from 1 species